UACAGAGGGGGCCAGCGUUAUUCGGAAUUAUUGGGCGUAAAGGGUGCGUAGGCGGCGGAGUAAGUUGGGUGUGAAAUCCCGAGGCUCAACCUCGGAAUUGCAUUCAAUACUGCUUCGCUCGAGUACUGGAGAGGAGGCUGGAAUUUACGGUGUAGCAGUGAAAUGCGUAGAUAUCGUAAGGAAGGCCAGUGGCGAAAGCGAGCCUCUGGACAGUUACUGACGCUGAUGCACGAAGGCCAGGGGAGCAAACGGG
rnacentral:rRNA from 1 species